rnacentral:lncRNA from 1 species
UCCGGAAGAAGUUCGGAGUAGGGUCGUCCGCGAUCGAAAGAAGUCUGGAAGGGAUUCGGAGAAUAGUUGAUCACUGUAGAAGGUCGGCUGAUAGUGAAGCCUAGAGAGCCUCUGGAGCGGCCCGGUAGAUGAAUGGAGAAGCUCAUUGUCCGAGAAGUCUGAAAGCUCGGACGGUCGAGGGGGUUCAGAGAGACGCCACACA